rnacentral:piRNA from 1 species
UNGCCCAAGAUACUAUCCUUCAGCUUUUAA